rnacentral:RNase_MRP_RNA from 1 species
CGAGGCACCCGGCGGAGUGUGUCGUAGCGCACGGACUGAGCAGCUGCUGCUGCUGCAGCAGCAGCAGCAGCAGCAGCUUUUCAGCUACGGGGAAAGUCCCCGAGCCAGCAAGCCGCGAGGGUUAGGAGUUAUGCUCAUCCAGUUUUGUGCGCAGCUCUCAGCUAGCUAGCUAGCUAGCUAGCUAGCUGCCCUGAGACCGUUAGUGGCAGCAGGGUUUGAGCGGCACAAAAUGUAUAGCGAUUGGCGGCGAGCAGCAGCAGCAGCAGCAGCGAACUGCUGCUGCUGCUGCUGCUGCUUCCCCGCCGCGUAUCAGGCGUGAGCUUAUGCACUCGGUGUACAUACAGCAGCACCAACAGGAUGGGGCUUACGUCUGGGUUGCCUC